rnacentral:rRNA from 1 species
AGUGAACGCUGGCGGUAGGCCUAACACAUGCAAGUCGAACGGCAGCACAGUAAGAGCUUGCUCUUACGGGUGGCGAGUGGCGGACGGGUGAGGAAUACAUCGGAAUCUACUUUUUCGUGGGGGAUAACGUAGGGAAACUUACGCUAAUACCGCAUACGACCUACGGGUGAAAGCAGGGGAUCUUCGGACCUUGUGCGAUUGAAUGAGCCGAUGUCGGAUUAGCUAGUUGGCGGGGUAAAGGCCCACCAAGGCGACGAUCUGUAGCUGGUCUGAGAGGAUGAUCAGCCACACUGGAACUGAGACACGGUCCAGACUCCUACGGGAGGCAGCAGUGGGGAAUAUUGGACAAUGGGCGCAAGCCUGAUCCAGCCAUACCGCGUGGGUGAAGAAGGCCUUCGGGUUGUAAAGCCCUUUUGUUGGGAAAGAAAAGCAGCAGGUUAAUACCCCGCUGUUCUGACGGUACCCAAAGAAUAAGCACCGGCUAACUUCGUG